rnacentral:lncRNA from 1 species
GGGGGUGGGGGUGUGGUUCCCAGUCCAGUGGAAUUACACCCCCAGGGGGAUUAUGGCUGCCUCUGCUGAGUCAUACAGGUUGCCAGGGAAGUGGGGGAAAGCCGGCAGUCACGGGCCUCACUCCGCUCCCAGGGUAGCUUGCAGUUCUAAAGGCUAGUCUCACUCCCACCGUGGCUCCCUCAACAGCACCGAGUCUAUUUCUAGGCAGCUGGUGACCAGGGCUGAGAAUUUGCCCCAGACCAUGAGCCUCCCCGUUGAGAAAGCAAGCAGACUCACAGUUUUUCAGCAUCUCAGGGAAACUUCAGGGGUGAUCCAGUUUCUUCAAAGGGUCUGUGGAUCCUCUCAGCUUUCCCUAUUUGCUCCAAGAACUACCACAGGAACAUAAGUUCAUGAUUGGAAAGCUCACCAGAGAUCCUAAAGAAUGAAGAUUUUUCUAGCAGCCGUGCUAUUACAUUGUACAAAGACAAGCGUCAAGAAUCUGUAGACCAGCUGUCUUUGAUUUUGUCUUAUGAGUGCCAGAUUUCUCAGAAGCUCUACAUUCCUCGAAGUACAGCCACUGCUGCCUUAGGUGCUGCCGCACGGUUAGCUACAUCCAGGAGCCUCCUACACUGGUACCCCAGUGUGAAAAGGAUGGAAGCAUGAGGGAGGGAGGGAGGAGGGAGAAAAACAGAAUCCAGCCGCUUAGGCUUUGAUGAACUCCCAGGCCAAAAUGAGGAGUUAUUGAAGCAAAAUAGUAUCUUGAUCAUUGAUACUUUUGUCUUUCUGUGACUAUAUGUUAGCUUUAUUAUGCUAACAGUCUACUUUGAUGUGUAAGUAAGUAUUGAUAUUUACUGUUAAUCUUGAUUUUUCUUGAUUUUAUUCUGUGUCAUUUUGUUCACCUUUGUUUUUAAUGUAGUUUAAAGGAAUUUGUUUUUUUGUGUUUGUUUUUCUUGUACAUUAUCAUGACUGAUAAAUGAAAAUUGAAAAACUAAUGUUUGUGAUCUAUAUUUGGCAAGACAAAAUAGUCUCACAUUCCUAUCUCCAGAAAAAAAAGAUGUCUGACUCUUAAGGCUGCUUUCUAACUUGAAGUCUUCUAUAUCAUAGAGCACCAUUAUGUCUUUGAAAUAUUGGGAUCAAUAAGAAAAUCUACACCCUGAAGCUUUGGUCAUACGAAUACUUUUACAUUUCAAAAAAAUUAAGCUGUUUGCAGUAAAGGCAAUUUCUGAAAUGUAGCUGAGCCAUCUCUAUAAUUAUCACAGUUCCCAAGAGCCUUAAUGUAGCAAUCGUUCAACAGUGGCAUUGUUUAAGCAUUUAUAUAACAUGAUGUUCUCUGAGGUCAGAUUCUGUGAAAUGUGAUAAUGGUAGUCUGUUGAGCUCAUAGUAUAGAUCAUCAAAAAAGACUGAAGGUGAAAUUUUAAAAUGUGAGUAAUGCUAGUUAAUUUUUUUUACCAGACUUAUACCCAGAUUUUAAAAAUAUUUUACUCACAGAAUUAACCCCCAAAACAGAAUCAUUUCUUAGAAGUAAAAUCUGAGAAAGAGAUGUAAAUAGCAUGCUUCAUGUAACAAGGUUCUCACCCACAUAGCUGCUCUUCUAAGGCCUCCUUUUUUU